AGUGAACGCUGGCGGUAGGCCUAACACAUGCAAGUCGAACGGCAGCACAGUAAGAGCUUGCUCUUACGGGUGGCGAGUGGCGGACGGGUGAGGAAUACAUCGGAAUCUACUUUUUCGUGGGGGAUAACGUAGGGAAACUUACGCUAAUACCGCAUACGACCUACGGGUGAAAGCAGGGGAUCUUCGGACCUUGCGCGAUUGAAUGAGCCGAUGUCGGAUUAGCUAGUUGGCGGGGUAAAGGCCCACCAAGGCGACGAUCCGUAGCUGGUCUGAGAGGAUGAUCAGCCACACUGGAACUGAGACACGGUCUAGAGUCCUACGGGAGGCAGCAGUGGGGAAUAUUGGACAAUGGUCGGAAGCCUGAUCCAGCCAUACCGCGUGGGUGAAGAAGGCCUUCGGGUUGUAAAGCCCUUUUGUUGGUAAAGAAAAGCAGCAGGUUAAUACCCCGCUGUUCUGACGGUACCCAAAGAAUAAGCACCGGCUAACUUCGUG
rnacentral:rRNA from 1 species